rnacentral:lncRNA from 1 species
CAGAAUAACAUUCUAACUGUACACGCUUUCAUACGGUUUCAGUUUAAUUUGGCCAUGUUUCUAUGCAUUCCUCUGCUCUUCCAAUUCCUGUGAACCAAACACCCAAGUUGACAAAAAUCAUGUGUUUACAAAUGCUCUAUUACCCACGUGCAUUCCUAUCCUAUUCCGGUGUUUUUCCAAUCCCUGCAUUUUUAGAAUCCUGCAAGCCAAAGGAGCCCUAACAAAAUUACUUCAGUUACAAGUAGGUGUCGAAGAAAACUUUGUGUGGUUUGGCCUGCUCCUACCGCGAUGUCGUCCACCUCACCUGAGCUGCUCCAUCGACAGAAGCAUCCAGCAAACCAGACAUCAUGACUCCUGACCGUCUUUCGCCGCCUCAGAUCUCCUUCGCUGCCGCCGACUCCCACCACAACGGCAUCACCAUCAUUGACUCAGCAGAUGAACCUGAGGAGUACACGGGUCCACAAGAGAGGUCACACUGUUUUGUUUCUGCUUAUAUUAUGCAUUGCUUAAUAUUACCUGCUACUUUAUCAUCAUGUUCACCUCUUAGACUCCAAGUCAGGUCCAAAUUAAUAUUCAAACUUGAGUUUUAAAAUUAGUUGUGGGGUACAUAUCAGGGCAGCAAUGAAUAGUAUCUCUAUCUAUUAUCUGGCACAUAUCAAGUUAGCAAUGAAUAGUAUAUUGGCAUAUGUUGUUCAUCUUGGAUGGGAAAGAAAUAGUAAAGCAAUCAUCAUCUGUCUUUUUAUUAAAUUAAAGCUAUCAUCAGCCUGCUAUCAUUAUUUUUGGAUCCAUCCACUGGUUGUUACCAUCACUCUAGAUUUCUGCAUGCUCUCCUUACAUAAUCUCAUUAUAUUUUUUGUAUGCAUGUCAGAUAUUUUACACAGUUGUGCUGAACAUGUAGAGAAAAAGAGAAGAGUUUUGCGUGGCAAUACGAUGUCAUGCAAACAUCGCUCCAUGGUGGGUUCAAUGGCAAACCCUCCCCCCUCCCCAGAUUGUAAUCCAAAGGAAUAUAUCUAUUCUGAGGCAGAUUCAGACGUUGACCACUCCUAUUUAACCCCAAGGUGUUUGCUCUAACUUGGCAUGAUGAUGUGAGUCAUAUCAUGCAUACGUUGCCUUGCAGUGCCUACUUUCGACAUCAUGUAUGUCAUCUUCUUAGUUUAGAGAUGUUCUGUAAUGCCGCCUAUUUAGUUUCUAUAUCAUAUAUGGAAAUUAUGCAGUCUCAUCUCUUUUAUCCAGCCAUAAUAUAUGUGAAAAAUGCAAUGCCAUCAUGUUUAACCAAGCAUCAUAUAUUUGAAUGAUAUCUUGCCCAUCCUUUUCUUCAUUACAUUUCCAUUUUUCGACAAUAUUUGUACAUUAAACUACUCUUCCUGUGAAUCAGCCAUUUGAGUGAGUGAUGGGAAAAUCUGGAGUGCAAAGAAGGUCUUUAGAGCAGACAGUGCUACCCGUCGAAGCAGAUCUCUUGCUGGGUCCCGAUAGCUCCUCAGAGAUGGAUUCACAGAGAGAUGCCCAGUCCUUUUCUUUAUAUUAAUCUCCAUUAUCUUCCUCUGCCAACAAACUCUUUCUUUACAACUAACCCCUGUGUUCUGUCACUAUUUGCUGAGAGAAGUUCCUGUGUACCCGUGUGCUUGAUGAGUAUGAGAUCAUACUCAUUCUUGCUAUUGUUGUUGAUUUUGUAGAAGUAGCAAAUGAUGGAUGUGCUGAUGAGAAUGAUGAACAGUAGGAGUAGCUCUACGGGUUGGGAAUAAAUAAAGAAGUUGCUUGUAUCAUAACCUUUGUAAUAGCUAGUAAUGAAUAAAGUUGGCUCUUGUGCAUACUGGAAAAUAAUUUGUUUACUAGCCUAACAUGCUUAUAAAUUCGAGAUUUAUAAGCAUGUGGCGAUUGUCACGGCUAAGACUCACGCACUUUAACUGUCACGCCCCGAGACCGGGCCUAGGCGAGACAGCCGCCGCGCACCUAUAGACCAGAGGCCUAUAGUCACGCAAGGCAUGAUAAAGCAGGCAUAAACCAGAAGUGGAUCACAAAAGCUAAUAUAUUUACUAUACAAAUUCCUUGACAUCUACAAAUAGUUGAGUAAAGACAUCAUAUUCUCUAGUCGCUUCCCACCCGCUGGUUAAGCCUAGUCUUGGAUGAAGACAUCUUCUGAACAUACAUAAGUUGAACAUACUUAAGUUACCUCGUUCGCAUCUAAAAAAACAGAGGAAGCAAGGGUGAGUAUGACAAAUCAUACUCAGCAAGCAGAUACUUCACUAUUCAACAAGGAGCGAUGCUAUGAUGGUGUAGAUCAACAGACGAAAUGAACAAGGAAAUUAUUGGCAUCACACAUGACCGCAAGCUUCCCAACCCGGGAGUCACAGGGGUGAAAUUUCACACUUUUACGCUCUUAAGAGGGGUACUCCGACGUCGACAGUCUCGACUAGAACCACACAGGUUCCAGAAGAGCAGAGCUCUUUUACCCACUAAGACCCGGACACCUGGACCUACUGAUGUCGGUCGCUCCUGCGGAUCCAUCACCGACACGUUCCCGAACGAGGUCUGUCCUUAGCAGAGAACCCAGACAGUCCCAUACCUGAACUGUGACCAGUACAAUACGUUUGCCGUCGUGACACCAAUAUAGAUGGAUGUGUGUUUGAAUCAACAUUAGGACCACUGAAGUAUCGGUCAAAGACAAUACACUCAUGGCUUUUCAUGAGUUCCUCCAAAAUACUCUGGUUCCAUCAACAAAUGGAUUAUGAGGAAAACACAUCCCUCUUUCAAGGAUCAACAGAGGAUCAACAAAGAUCAAGGUGCAAUGAUAUUACCAGAUAAUCAAGCAAGACAACAACAAAGAGGGAUCAGGGAGUUUAGCAAAGCAGCUACUUGCCUCAGAUAAUAUGAUUUCUCCUUUAGAAUAAUAUUUUGCAAGAAGAUGAAACUCCAUCAUCUUUGUAUAAAAUCUGACGAACACACAUAUACUCAUAUUUCUUCUGAUGUAUGGCUCGGCUCUUCCCUCCAGCAGCACCUAAACGCUCUAUUCUUCUUCAAAUGUGGAUGCAUGCAUGAAUUCUUCAUCUCUCUUCUUUAUCUUUCUGGUGUCUUUCUUUCUCUCAGGCUCUCUCCUCCAGUGUCUAUGUCUUUCUCUCAGAGCUGUGCUUUGAGCAGCGUGACCCACAACUAUUUAUAGGAGGCGAGCGCCCGUGCAAGUCUAAAAUAU